CCUACGGGAGGCAGCAGUGGGGAAUAUUGCACAAUGGGGGGAACCCUGAUGCAGCGACGCCGCGUGGGUGAAGGAGUGCUUCGGCAUGUAAAGCCCUAUCGGCAGGGAAGAAGGAAGACGGUACCUGACUAAGAAGCCCCGGCUAACUACGUGCCAGCAGCCGCGGUAAUACGUAGGGGGCGCGCGUUAUCCGGAUUCACUGGGUGGAAAGGGAGCGUAGACGGCCAAGCAAGCCAGGAGUGAAAGCCCGGGGCCCAACCCCUGGACUGCCCUGGAAACUGCAUGGCUGGAGUGCGGGAGGGGCAGGCGGAAUUCCUGGUGUAGCGGUGAAAUGCGUAGAUAUCAGGAGGAACACCGGCGGCGAAGGCGGCCUGCUGGACCGCGACUGACGUUGAGGCUCGAAAGCGUGGGGAGCGAACAGGAUUAGAUACCCCGGUAGUC
rnacentral:rRNA from 1 species